CUACAAAAGUUUAGUUAUGUACAAAUUAUUUCCAUUCCAUUAGGAACAACUCACAUUUGGUUAUUUUGAGUGCUCGUCAUAUUGAGUGACCCAGCAGCGGUUGUGUGAGAGCUAGCUGCAUGCCGCUCCUUUAAUGACCUAUGAGAGCUGUGGACCCAGACCAUACACAGGGAACCUGAGAACCUGCUGAGCAACUUCUGUUGAUCUAAGCCAGUUUACUGUACCACUCAAAUCAACCACAAUUUCACUAAGACAGCAGGUGAGCUGCAUCAAUUCACAGGAGUCCAUCAUAGACCUCCACAGCUUGAGAAAUUGAACCUCCCGUUGAAAACCGCACUGUCCUGACCUAAAACCAGAGAUGUGAACAACAGCAAUUAAAACACAGGACACACUCGAUGAGAGAUGACCUCAAAUUAUGCUGAGAAGUGGGAACUGAAAUGUUUCAAACUGAAUUCGAUCAGCAUUCCUGUAAAAAGACAAGGGCUCAGGGAAGAGGCAGAGCCCUGCCAAAAUGUACCGCUGCGGCCUCCGCCCCGCCCCUUCCUGUCCCUCGUUCUGAUGGAAUGCCUGGCACACUUCGCACUGGAGGAGCGAUGAGCGGGCAAGAUACAGACGAUCGGCCCAUGAGACGCAGAGCCGGGCUUACUGCUGGAUGCAUGUGGGGCCUGUCAGAACCAACCAGCCACCUGCCAGGCUCCGAGCGCCAGGAUACAAAACCUUGAGAAUGUGGCAGAAAACUAAUCCAUGGCUCUUCAUUAGUGGGAAUGGUCUUGUCUCAAAAUAUCCUCUGCCAGAUAGAGAGAAAAAAAAAGGUUGAGAUUGCUGAAUGGAUUUGUACUUUGUGAUUUGUACUAAUGUGAUUAUUCGAGAAAAAAGAUGUUCUAUAUGGGAUAUGUAUUUUAUUCGUGAUCUUCAACAGCUUUACUGGUUAUUGUUUGAUUUGAAUUCAAAUCGAUUUAUGCCUGGUUCAGA